CGCCGUAAACGAUGAAUACUAGGUGUCGGGGGUCGAACCUCGGUGCCGCAGCUAACGCAUUAAGUAUUCCGCCUGGGGAGUACGGUCGCAAGACUGAAACUCAAAGGAAUUGACGGGGACCCGCACAAGCAGCGGAGCAUGUGGUUUAAUUCGAAGCAACGCGAAGAACCUUACCAAGUCUUGACAUCCUCUUGACCAUCGUUUAAUCAUGAUUUUCUCUUCGGAGACAGGAGUGACAGGUGGUGCAUGGUUGUCGUCAGCUCGUGUCGUGAGAUGUUGGGUUAAGUCCCGCAACGAGCGCAACCCUUGUCUUUAGUUGUCAUCAAGUAAUGUUGGACCCUCUAAAGAGACUGCCGGUGAUAAACCGGAGGAAGGUGGGGAUGACGUCAAAUCAUCAUGCCCCUUAUGAUUUGGGCUACACACGUGCUACAAUGGUCGGUACAACAGGCAGCGAAAGGGUAACCUGGAGCGAAUCCUCUAAAGCCGAUCUCAGUUCGGAUUGUGGGCUGCAACUCGCCCACAUGAAGUUGGAGUUGCUAGUAAUCGUGAAUCAGAAUGUCGCGGUGAAUGCGUUCCCGGGUCUUGUACACACCGCCCGUCACACCAUGGAAGUUGGGGGCGCCCGAAGCCAGUGAUCCAACCCGUAAGGGAGGAAGCAGUAUAAGGAAACAGCUAUGACUAGGGUGAAGUCGUAACAAGGUA
rnacentral:rRNA from 1 species